ensembl:lncRNA
GAUCUAUGGUCAUUCCUGCCUCUGAUUUUGUCGGUCUGUGUCGCCAGGGGAUCCACAAGGUUAUAUCUAUCCAUGUAUCCCAUGGAUACAUGGGAUAUCCGUGUAUACAUGUAUCCCAUGUAUCCCGUGCAAGAGAAAAAAUGAAAGGAACAAAAUCCAGAUGCUGGAAAAGAACUUUUUUUUCACCACAUAUAUCGCUUAAACAUUAAACUUUCCCGAAUGUUCCUUUUUGUUUGUUGAUUUUGUUUGUUUUGUUUUGUGGUUUUUUUUCUACCGAAAAGAGCAAAGAAGAUGACAAGAUAUCUGACACCAACAUGAGAACACUUAAAAGAUCGUUUAGUUCACAUGGUUAACAUGCAAACUUGAUUUUGAUUGCAGUUUCAUGAUGUGCAACAGGUAAGUUUGCCUACAAUUAUGGUACAGUAAACAGUCUCUCAGAAACCAUUCAACUUUCUCCCACAUAAAGAGAAAUGUGAAAAAUGAUGCAGACCUAUACUUUGCAAACAGAUGAAUAUCCACAGUUGUGGAAUUCAUGAAGUUCUUAUUAGAAUUCUGGAAACAAUAUGUGGAGAGAGUAUACAUCAAGGGGAAAAAAUCAUAAAAGACAAUACUCUUUUCAGUUAAGCAGCAAGAAAUAAAUCAUCUUUCUGAAGCAUAAAUGUGAUUACAGAACCCACAGGCAGUAUCUUUUGUAAACUUUAUGCAGUAAAAAAUGUUUGACUUCCUGAAAUAUACCUGUGAAAUCUAACAAAGCAGUUAGAUUUCAAGACGAAAACAGUUGGCAAGGAACAGAUGACUUGUAUUAUUUAUUAUCCCCAAGUACUUGAGUUCAUAAAACUCUCACAGCGAUUUGCAAGGAGGUACACUUUUUUAAUAGUACAGAAUGAAACAAUCCAUACUCUCCAAGGACAGACAUAUUACUGAGAGCUCAAAACAUUAGGAAUUUAAGGGAGAAAAGGGAGAGCUGUAGUAUGCUUUUGAAAACAAGAGGGAAUUCUUUUAGAUCUUAAAAUAAUAAAUAAGUAACAAUUAAUUUAAUUUCUGUACUUCUCUUCCAUUCUCGAUUGAAAACAGAGGCAAGCUGUUUACUGUCAAAAAUUUUACUUCCUAAAGUAACUGCAAAAAAAUAGAUAAUGAAUAGCAUGAGUCCAGACAAGGCAUAGAAGAACAGGUCUCAUAAUUCUUUAGAAAGCUUCUAAGAAGCUUUCUGAUAGCCGUGUGCAAAUGUACUAUGUUUUAUACUUCUACUUUUAUAUACUACUCCUUCAUGACUUUACACAUUAAUUCAAGAGUUCUUGGUUUCACAUCCUUACAUGAGCUAAUCUUUUAAUUAUUCUGGAUAAACUCCAUCAGAUGUUUCUGAUGCUAUUACUGAAAGAAACAACAACAAAAGAAAACAGAAAACAAAAUAGUAAUAGUAUAGAUGUUCCUGAAAUUGGCAAAUUUUCACUGUGAAUUCUGACUGAGAAUAUAUUAUAUAUUGAUUCUGUUAUUACAGAAGGGAAAAGAAGCAACACACCAACAGAUGAGCACAACAGAAUGAAGUGUAAGCAAGAAAAAGAAACUGUUCACAUAACUUUUAACAGCAAGAUAUAUUAUUUCUUUGCAUGAGAGAAAAUUACAUGGUUGUAAAACCACUACUUUGGAAAUAUAUCAACAAACUUCUCAUGCCUGAAUUUAGUUUCUUCGUUAGUGGAACAUAAGCAGCUCCUAAAACAUUUUACUAGGUCUGCUAGUGAGACAGUCUUUUUUCCUAAGUUAUGAUGCUCAUAAUAAACUGCCUACUGGCUAAAGUGUUACACUUGGGUCGAGGCAAUCCCAGAUCUGAGUCUAGAUGGGAAAAAAAACUCACUGAGAACAGCCCUGUGGAGAAGGACUUGGGGAUCUUGAUGCACAAAAAGCUGGACAUGAGCCAGAAGUGCACUCUUGGAACCCUGAAAGCCAACUGUCCUGCGCUGCAUCAAAAGAGGGGUGGUCAGCAGGGAGAGGGAGGUGUUUGUUUUCCUCUACUCUGACCUUGUCAGGCCCCAUCUGAGGUACCAUGUUCUAGCCUGUGGCCUCCAGCACAAGAAGGAUGCAGAGCUGCCAGAGCAGGUCCAGAGGAGGGCCACAAAGAUUAUCAAAGUGCUGGAGCACCACUUCUACGAAGAAAAUUUGAGGGAGUUGGGCUUGUUUAGCUUGGAGAAGAGAAGGCUCUGGAAAGACCUCAUUGCAGCCUUCCAGUACUCAUAACCAGAUUACAAGAAGAAGGGGAAGCAACUUUUUACAUGGUCUGAUAGUGAUAGAACAAGGGAGAAUGUCUGAACUAAAAGAGGGGAGAUUCAGGUUAGAUGUUGGGAAGAAAUUUUUUACUCAAAGGGUGGUGAGGUACUGGAACACUUUGCCUAGGGAUGCUGUGGAUGCCUCAUCUCUGGAGGUGUUCAAGGGCAGGCUGGAUUGGGCCCUGGGCAGCCUGAUCUAGAGGUUGGCAACCCUGAUCAUGGCAGAGGGAUUGGAACUAGAUAACCUGUAAGGUCCCUUCCAGCCUAAGCCAUUCUAUGAUUCAGUGAUUCUACAAUUUAACGCUGACUUGAUCUUAGCAUCCUCCACUAUUUUAGCAUCUUGACAAACCCUGAAGUGAAGAUGAAAUCCUAAAUAAGUAGAAGUAAAUGCCAACGGUUACGAUUUCUUGGUAAUUUAUUCUGUGUGUGUGUAAGGAUUAGUUACUUUGUACAAGGUGAGAGGAACUUUAAGAACAUAUUAAAACUGUUGAUUCCUGUUGGUCAUGCUGUUGGGGUAAAGGUUCUCUUCCCCUCAACAAAGGUGUAUUUAUUGCUAUCGUUAAAAAAUACAUUGCAUAGUGUUGUGGAAUAGUUAAGAGGUAACCUUUGAUAGCAACUCUUAUGAAAACAGACCACCAGUUCUCUGCUUGCUAAAACAGAGUUUUAGGCAUUUUCCCUUUGACCUUGCCUCUCCAAACAGAAUUUUACUCACUAACAAAUCUAAGCCUGGAGGUUUUGUUAGUCUGCUACUUCGGUUUUAUGAUCCUUCAGCAAUUCUCAGUAAAAAAGCUGUGAUGGGGAGAGAGUGCUAAAGUAGGUAGAAAUUAUUUUGGUAAUGUGUAAGAAGAGUAACUGCAUGCUGUAGUAAAUUUACCAUGAUAGCUACCAGAGGGUGUGGUAAAUAAUCUGUGCUCUUUCUGCAUCUACUUAUUUCAAACAAGCUGUUUUCACAGAUUCUCAAUCUUUAGUCAAAUUCUUAAGAUUUAUAGAUGUUUGAAUCAAUUAUCAGCAGUGAUGACAUAAUGGGUUUUGGUUUUUUUUUUUUGUUUUUUUUUUUUGCUGCUGCUGUUUUCUCAUAAAACUGCUCAUGCAAGAAUAAUAAUCAGCAGAACUCCAAGAGAAUGGUACACUACAAAUGUACAGUCAUUAAAAAAGAAGAGUAGGAUAUGCUUAUACAAUGCUGAAAACACCAGAAAUCCCAAAGAAAAGAGCAGGUAUCUUUUACAUUAGAAUAUUUAACCAAAAUAUAUUCAAAAAUCUUUAAUUUUUUUUCCAAUCAUAGCAUAAUAACAAUGCAGAAAAAGAUGUGUUUAGUUUACAUAGCACAAUAUCUUCUUAAACAUAGCAUUGUCAAAAAUUUGUAUCCGUAAAUUCUCAUAAUUGUAAUGGUAUGGGUGUUUAAAUUUUCUUAAUUGACAAAAGAUUGAUUACUUGAAAAUAAAUAAGGAAAAAUCCUUUGUGUAGAAUUAGUCCUAAUAUGUUAUUGAACCUCAAGACGUUCCUGAAGAUUUUUCCCUUUUUCUCCUUUCACUACUGUAUUUUAACACUAAAGCUUCAUAACCUUUGAGUUUCUUAUGCCAGUCUUUGGAUUCCCUACAUGACUACCACUUGCUAUUCAUGAAAUGUUCCCAUUUUGCUUCUGAAGGAAAUAAAAAUUGGAUAUUGUAAGAAAGUAAUCAUUUCAGACUUCAUUUAUUAACAAACCAUAUUCCAAAAGAGUCUUGAGUGCCCUGUCUGAUAGACUAUUAACCUUGGAAGCUCUCUGAUUUUGAUGAUGUUUGGCACAUCAAAUUAGAAAAGGUGACUUGUAAACAAAUAAACAAACUGCUGCCUUCCUGCUUCUGGUUUCUCUGUCAUAUAUAAACAAGUUCUGAAAUGUUUUUCAACUUUUUCUUUAUUUGUCUUUGACCUUUAAAAUACAAUGAAUAUCAAUGUGGAAUUCAGUUUGCAAAAUAACUUCUUUGAGGUAUGAAAUAACAAGAAUAUGAGAUGUCUCAGCUCAUAUAACAUAUGAUUCUUUCAUAAAAAAAAAGAAGAAGAAGAAAAAGAAGAAGAACCAAAAAACCAACCACAAAAAAAUAACAUUACAUUUGUACCAGAAUGGCUAGAGAAGUUAAAUAUAUUAAACACAAGAACACAAAUAGUUUUUUAUUUUUCAUGUUUGUGGCCUUUGUCUCUUAUAACAUAGCACUCAUAUUUUCAUUGAUAACAUUUUUUCUUCAUUAUGUUACAGUAGAAUUGAGAAACAGGUGGGAAGUAAGUCUUUAAAAAACACAUAAAAUGCCUUUUGCCCUUGACUCACCUGCUGAAUUUAUCUGAUAUUUUAUGUAGCCUCCUAGCUAUUUCAUUUUGUUCAGUAAGCUAAAAGUACAAGUUAACAUUAAGCUAUGCCUGCCUUUACAGAAGGAAACAGAAGAAACUAGAGAAAGAUUCUCUGCCAAAAAAAACCAACCAAAACUAGAAUUAUGAUUCCCACUCAAAUCAAUUGACAGUGAUAAAAAAAUUGAUUUUCUGUGUGAACUGAUCAGUUUUAUGUAUGAGGUAUUAGUUAUUAAAAGCUAAAUCUGUGGAAUCUAUACAUGACUGACAGACACAAAAAACUCCUUCUGAGGUUUUGAAACACAUUAUAUACAACUAGCUUACUGUAAAAGCAUAUUAACAUCUAGGAGAGAAAGUAGCCUUCUAAACAAUUGGCCACAAAAUAUUAAUCCUCCCAAUUCAUUAAGCACGUUAAAGAGAUUUUGAAACGUCACAUGAGCGUUACUCUAGAAGAAGAUACUUUUCAUGGUUUUAGAUUUGGAAAAAUGAAUGGGAAUGUGCAUUGAUUCUUUUUGCUUAUUGGUGAAACUCUUCAAAACUGUUUUUUUGACAGAUUUCUCUGGUAUACUGUGGAGAAGGAAAAGCUGUGCUUUAACAUGAAAAAAGAAGGCGUUCCAUGUUUUUUUUGCUUUUUUUUUUUUUUUUUUUUUUUAGCCCAAAUGGAAUUUCUUUAGGUAUUAGAAACUAGAAUUACAUGUUGUUCUGGCCAGUAAGAUAGGGUCAGUUGUUAGAAUAUGUAAAUACCUGCUGUUAGGAAAAUGGAAUAGUGAAUCAAAAAUGGUCUAUGUGAGGUCAUCUGAAAAGUAUAAAAAAGUUGUAAGUAUUCUUGCAGCUCUUGAUUGUAUUUUCCAUGCAAUUGGAUUCUGCAAUCCUGUAGAAAGCAGGGAAACCUCAGGAGUUUGAGUGAUGGUUAAACUAACUUUGUUCCUUACCUGACCUGGGGGAGAGUCUCUUCGCAGGAGGGAGGACUGCCAAUUCUCACAGGUAAGUCUAGGCAAAAUUCAGGCUGAGGCUCUUCAAGAAAGGAUGCAGGAGACACAAAGGAGCUACUAUUCUCAUUUAGUCACUACUAAGUCAAAAAGAACCAAAGGUCUUAACAGUAGAGCAAACCACUAGGGAAUGAGGAGUCAGAGUCUGUGUGAACUGGGAGAAGCAAUAAUGAGAAAUUAAAAGCUUAAGCCGGAGGUAAAGACCUUGUUUACUUUGGUGCCACCUGUCUGAGCUAACCAAGUGUAACCUGCCUGCACUGAUAAUCAUGAGAGUAACACUGUAUAUCUGUUGGUUUGGCAAUUGAAGGUCACAGUUACUGGCUUCAGCCUACUUCUGUGCUGCGCAGCUCACAAAGACUCAGGCAUAGGGUGACGCAUAUGAAGGGACCUGACUGUACAGAAGACAAUGCCAGUUAACUUAUAAUUUUGAUGGUGUUCUGCUGCGUGAAUUAACAAAUGCUAGGAGAAUUUUGUAGUAAAUCCCCUAUCAAAAAGUUCCACCAGUCUACUUAAUUCACUGCAGAUACCUGUAAAACUCUAUUUGAAAUACAAACCAGUAUGAAUUAGCCUGAUCUACUUCAUAUGGAGCCAGGAGUUUGAAACAAUUGAGUAGGCUAAAAAAGAGGGACUAUUUCAUUUACAGUAGGUGCUACAAGGUAAUCUGCAUAUGCAGAAAAAUGCCUCAGGAUUCUUUUGUGAUUUUGUGAUCAUGAAGUGACCAUGAGUGGCUGUUAUACUCAAUGGCAAGCUGGCAAACUGCAGCAGUAGCUUUGUGUUUGAGAGGGAACACUUUGUGAGUGGGCAGAUCAAAUAGUUCAAGCUAAAUAUGAGCACCUGUGAGUCUUGGCUAUUUGAAUCAAUGUCAGCUUAAAGGGAGGAGGGGAAAGGUAUCUAGAAAUAGUGUAUAUCAAAAGUACUAUUAAAAAAAUACUUUAUUCCAAAACUGUGCUGUGAUGGGUGCUUAUUUUGGAGUGGAGUCAUGUAGUUCUCAGGUACACUUCCGGGAAGAUCAAAAAACAGCCAAAAGGAAUAUCUAGAUAUGUUAUGCCCAUCUUGUAGAGAGAGUGAUAACAUGCUCAGAUCUAUUAAGGUUAUCACUUCUGGCCUUUUAGAAAAUAGUGUUACUUCUUAAACUUUUUUUCUGCUUCACUGACAAAAAAGUGUAUGUGCUUAGUUUUUUUGGUUUUUUUUUUUUUUUUUUCUAAAUAACUAAAGUUCACUGAAAUGAUAGACAAACAGGGUCAGUUUAAUUGAAUCCAGUUCAGCUUUGCUGAUUCAGUGUUUUGUUCAGCACAGAAAUGAUAGUAAAUGAAAUUUAUUUACAGAGAAGCAGAGUCCCUGAAACUCCGUUCCUCCUACCCAGUCAUCUCAUCCUUGCAGGAGCUUAUUGCAUCCAGGAUAGCAAAAGGGAGAAAGUAAACAGAAGUGACUGAAAUACUAUGUUCUCUCUUUUUAAAUACUGAUUAAAUAGCAAAGUCUUCCAUAAACAUAAUGUGGCUGAUACUUACCCUACUUUUCUGAGUAUGAUUUUGAGAUGGGUGUCACUGCCAGGAGGUAUGGUUUCACUGUUUGAUAUGCUUCUCUGAGUACUGUACCCUCUAACUUUUUAUUGUUAUUUAUUCUUAGUUGAUGGUUUGUGAGAACUAUUCAUGAAAAUCAUAUUUCAUUAAAAAAGCUUUUAUUCAGGAAAAUAUUUCAUAAAUUCAAGAUGAGAAUCUGGGAGAGAGGUGAUGCAUCUAGGUUGAGAUUAUUUUUCUUCUCAUCCAGAAGCCAUUGCUGAGAGCAUAUAAUCAGGAUAGGAGUGACUCUGUGCUGUUUUCUGCUGAGAGCCAGGUAGGGACAGUUGGCGGCACACUGGUUCCCAUAUCUAAGCUGAACAUACAAGAAUUCUCAACUCUCCAAACAGUUAUUUUAUUCUCCGCCUUAAGGAAAUUUCUGCAAAUCUUUACAUGAUUUUUGUAGGCUGAAAAGAACAAUUCUUUCUACAAGUGUAAAGCUCUUUUUAUCCUGGGAACCAAAAUGGAAUUUCAUCCUCCUCAUUAUUCCAAUUCCUUAAUAAUUUAAAACAGAUCUCAAUAUCUUCAUGUUCCGGGAAAAGCAGGUGCAUAACUUCACUGUUUUAUUCCAGCUGCUUUUUUGAGUUUUCAUUUGCUUUUGAGCAUUUCUUAGAUAUCCCUUACUCUUCUCAUAUAACCCUCACUAGGCUGCAUGUGGAUUAAUGUUCCAAACCAUUUCUGUCUCAUAUUUUUUGCAGUAAGUAAAUAAAUAAGACUGGCUCUAUUUCAAAAAAUGUUUUUAUGAAACUCAUUUAGGAACACUGAUGAAGAUGGUUUAUGUUAAAGGUGGCAAAAGGUGUUGUGCGUUUGUUUUCAAGUUUCUGAUAAAAUCACAAACCAGCAUGAAAAUAAGUGAAAACCUAUGACUGGAUUUUUUUUCAUUCUGGCAAUGAUAAUAGACCUACGUUGUUCCUGGUAGAACAUUCAUGACUGCUUAUAUCUACAUCCAGGCAGGAACUUAAUACAGGAAAUAAAAAGAUGUCAUCUGCAAACAGCUACCAUCAAUUAACCUCACAGUCCUAUCUGAGCUAAUAUGAACAAGCCUGUAUCAGUCAUGUUUCUAUCACUGCUGAAUAUCUUUGUUCAUUUUAACUAUUUUAGAUCAAGAAUGGAAUUGGAAUCUGAGUAGGAGAGAAAAGGAAAUAUUCAUCCACAGGCUUCAAAUGUAAUUUAGAGAGGAUUUGGAAGAUGAGAUUAUUGUUUCUUCUCUUACUUUCAUGUGCGCUGUCCUUUCCUGUCAUCAUUUUGUCAUUUUCAAUUCAAUUUAAUAAGAACUCAGCUUAGCCAAGUAUUUCAUCCCUUACACUGUUCUCAUGACUCUGUGACCCACGAAGUGGUCAAAAGUAGUGCCCUAAGCAGCCUGAUGUUCUUACAUAUGUAACAGGUCUCAGAGUAGCUAAUGAGACCUACAGCUUCUGUAUUCCCUGGAUGGUUUUUCCUUUUUUUUUUUCCCCCUAAAUUGUACAUGUAUUUGUGUCUUCCUUGACCUCUAAUAGACUUUCAGACUUCGAAAGCGACAUCAGUAUAAGACUAGCUCAAAUAACUCAGAAUAAGUAAGUAAUAAGUAAUAGCAUCUAAAAUACAGUCAAGCAGCUUUUCAUCUGCCUCAGGAAAAUAUCACACAACAAAGAAAAAGGAAGAAUAUGGUUAAAAUGACAGCAUUAUUUCAUGCUUGAAUUUGAAAACCUUUGAUAUGUAUCAACUUAAAAAUAAAAACUACUAAACUAAUUACUGAAUUAACCUGUGACAACUACAGAGCACCUUGGGGUUUUUCCCCAUUAUUCAUUCUUAUUGCAUGCAGACUCUUGAUAGCACAGGGAAGACAUGGGAAUGAUGCUUACUGGUAACAGUAGUAACUUUUUCUAUAAGCUGUUCUGCUCUGUCAUUUCCUUUUCCUGAUUUUAUGGAUGAAAAUGAAAAUGGGUUACCCUCAUAAUAGUGAAUUGGCACUGGUGGAGAAGAGCAGAAACGAAAAACUAUAUGUUUGCUUGGCUGAAGAAGAAAUAUUGGAUUACAUGCUUUCUCUCAUCCUUGCUUUCCCUUUGCUCUUUAUCUUAUUUGCUUGUAUUCUACACAUAAAUUCAGGGUGGUAAGUAAAGGUGAAGAUUUCCAUAAAAUUUUUUAUUUCUCUAAGAGGAGUUUAGGCCCUCAAGGAACUUUCCAAGACCUAAUCUGAAGAAAUAGCAAAUUGUGAUAAGUAUGAGACAAAUAAACAACAGAACUUUUGGUCUGUGGCUAAUAAUACGGCAACCUGGUUUAAAAAUUCUGAACAAAUAGCUGAUUGGAUACACUGAUGUACUCUUAGAUGUUCAGCCAGAGAAAACUUGUCAGAUAAAACUCUUACUCUGGUAUGUCCUGAAAGUAACUGAACACUCUUUUCAGCACCUUAGGUUUUCUUUCCUACAGAAAGUCAUUUAGUACCCAUCUUAACAUGCAUGACUGACUUCAGUUGUUUCUAGGCUUAUAUAUGGAAUCUGAGAGAAUGUAAUAUAAAUUAUCAAUAAUAUGUUAUAAAUGGAGUAAAAUAUGGAAGAAAGAGCAUCAUCAGAAGGAUUUAAAAAGAAAAUGUAUGUGGAAAGGGGAAGAUCAAGAAAAUGUACCUGAUUCCUAAUUUUCUGGUUCACUCAUUGAGCCCACAGUGAAGGCUUUGCUUUAUGACUCUGAAACACUUGAACUAAACAAAUGUCCUACUCAUAUGGAACAGCCCUUGUUUUGAACAUUUGAAAGCCUGAGAACAUCAAUUUUAAGGCUGGGACAUGAUAUCACGUUCCUGACUAGGUGAUAGUUAUCAUAAUGCAACUGCAAUUUGCCAUGUUUAAGAUUACGGCAUCGUAUUGCUUCUAAAAAGCUGAGAAGGUCCCUUGAGACAACUCACAGAAGGAAUUUUUUUUUUUUUUUUAAUAAACAGAACAGUGGUUAUUCUUUUGGUUUUCUGGGUAGGAAAGGAAAUAAGCAUGCUUCUCUCUUAGAUGAUGUUUGACUGUCAUUUUAUGACAUAUACUAGUAUUUGAUUCUGCCAGUUGAAAGACAGCUUGCUAGCACAUCCUCCUGAUGAAGUAUAAAAGAGGCUUUUCUCAAACAAGAGGGGGUUUAUUACAUGAACAAUACAGAGGAGAAACAAGAUAAAAUAACAAAAUCAAAAAAUCAAUAUAAAAGAAUGCUUCUGCUGUUACAAUCAAGGCAUACAACAGUUGUGUCAUCAUCACCAUUUAGAAAAUCUUAUUUUGCUACAGAUUUACAGACCUUCUCCAUUAUAAAUAAUGUCUUGUUAUGACUGGCUUUGGUAGCUUAGUACAUUCGGUACAAGUGAGAGAUACUUGUACUACCAAGUUUAGAAUUCUGCCUUUUGACAGAUAACAUUCAGAAAAGAAAAUUAAAAAAAAGAUGAUAAUGAUAUUACAAGUAGGCACUUAAGCAGAUGGUUUAUCUGAACAAAAUGGCUCAAAAACCAAAAGGGAUGCAUAUUUGCUUCUGCUCCACAGUUUUUCUUUAGUAUUUCAUUUCUUUUGGGAAAUAGCUUUGAGGAAUCAUGAAAAGAUUACCCAUAAAAUAAAAAGUGUUUAAAAAGUCUUUUUACUCUCAGAUGGAAAGUAAAUCUCAAGCCUUCUGAUAUGUUAAGUGCCUGUUGCAGGUGAUGUACUACCAGACAGAUAUGUCCAAGUUUGGAGAGAGAUACACGGGAGAAGAACUCACCCUGGCAAGGUAAGUUCCUUGUACUUGGAGGAAGCAAUGUAGGUCAUGUUCAUAACAACCAUUUUGGCUUGACUCAGCCAAGUGUCACUGUACAAGGAAAAGCACAGGAAAGCAUGAGUUGUUAGCUGGCAGCAUGUUACUCCAUUACACCACCUUCCAUUCAAAAAAAGUUAGACACAUACUGAGCUGCUCCAAUUACAGCAGUGCCAGAUGAGCUGGUAUCUAGGAAGCACAAGCAGACCUUUGCACUCCCUAUGCUACACAUUAAAGAGUCUGCCAAGGAUUUGUGUGGGUUGUAGGCCUAUCAUGGUCAAACUGUGAUUCAGAAAGUUACAUGCUGCCUUUCAAUUAUUGUGCAGUUCCUUACUCUCCAUCCUAAUUUAUCACGCUAUACAUUAAACUGUGAUAGUUCCCUGUAUUUUAAUGAUUACUGAACUGAUUUCUUCAUAGAUGGUAAGUAGAGUUUGCGAUCUUAUUUGACGGAGUUGUGAAAAGUUAUUGAAUAUUUGAGCAGCUAAUUCAGUAGCAUAGCUAGAUCCUUGAUCAGCUUCAGUUACCCUCAAUACUGUGACUGAGACCAUAAGAAAAUUUUUCAGUUCUGAUCUACUGCUUGAUUGGUGAGUGGAUUUAAUCAAGUUGUCAACCUCCAAUAUGUCACUGGGAUGGGUGGUUGUUGUAACUGGCUAUACUGAGUAACUAUGAGCAUAGACAAGUAGCCAACUACUUCCCAUCUAGCUAGCAUAUUUACUAUUGGUGAGGAGUGGUUGAAGUAAACUCUUGUGAUUCAGAUGCUCCAAUGUGAUCACUAGUUAAGUCACAAAACAUCCUCUUCUACAGUUUUACUUCUACUAAAAGAAAGAAUAUGCAGAUAUUAAGGGCUGGACCACAAUUAUAAAAAAUAAAAAUAAAAAAUGUACUCCCAAAUUACUCCAUCAAAGUCCUGCCAGACAAGUUAAUGACAGUUUAAUUAAACUCAUGUUUAUUUAGGAAAAAUAUACAUGACUAUCAAUUUCAAUUGAUAAUCUCAUAAGCAAUACUUAGAACAUAUUGUAUGAAUGUGCCUCUUUAAAAUCUGUGUAAUCGCUUUGGCACCUGAUUCACCUUCCCAUGUACAAAUAUAAGCUUAAUAAUACACUACUUAUGAAUAAAAUAUAAGACAAUAUUUCUGAACUUUGCUAGCAGGCUAAAGAAUGUUCAGUCUUAAAAGCCCAAGCCUUCACUAUACUGGAAUUAAUGCAUUAGUAUUUUCAUCUCCCUGCUUAUAGCUUCUCAAUAUAAUCAUUGAAACUUGCCCCUUGAGAGAAGGAAAAACAGUAACCUCCUGGAGCAGGAGACUGGAAAAUAAGAGAGUUUGCAUGAUCUUGUAAUUAAAUAAUUGGCUAAGAGUCAGAUAAUGAGUAUUUAGGAUCCGACACAAAAUUCCUGUGUGAUUUUUCUGAAAGCUGUUUCAAACCAAACUAUGAUACUUAGUCUAAUAGUAGUGAGUUAGAACAUGUUCCCACAUGACUUAAUUUGAAUUACUUGUUGAGUAAAGCAUCAUACCUCUUUCUGAAUGUGGCAGAAAUCUGACUUUCACCAUCCUCUCUGCUUGUAUUUAAUUCAACAGAAAGGUAAUACAAAUAUUAACCUGCUUUAAAAAAGUGUUCUUCUAUUUACUGCCUCACUUACACUGUUCAGAUAUUUCAGUGAUGGUGUUAAUAGUCUUGGUUCAGAAAAGUAUAUAAACAUGUUUUUGGCCUUAAACACAAACACUACCAUUAAAAUUUACGGCUUACUGAAAUAUAAAACGAUUAAAUCAUGGACAACCCUAUGUGAAAUCUGAUUGCUACAUUUAGCACCUCUGAACUAUGGAGCUCUGGAAAUACCUACAGCAGUGCUGGAAGAGUAACAGUCUUGGCCCCACUUCUAGUGGAAAUACUUUCAAUAUAAGAUCAUUUAGACUCGAUGACUGAUGAAGAAUCCCCUUCAAAUAUUAUUCAUGAUACAGAAAGUCUUACCUGAAUAAGCCUCUAAAUAUGAAAAUAAAGGUUAUGGAUUCUGUUUAAAGACUAUCUAUUUAAUGUCUAAUGUAUUCUAAUGUCAUCAUCAUUUUACAACUGUAUCUUCAUGCACUGAUUAUGAAAUGCAUAAGGCAGUGAUUGCAGGGUACCUCAUAUAUUCAACUCAUCAUUGUUUUAUCACUGUUCAGAGCUACUACAUAUUAUUCAAGAACUGUAAUGGAUAUCCUUUAUAAGCAAGUUUUUAAAAUAUUCUUUACUCCUAAACUAGCAUUAGAUUUCUACCCACUUUCUGCUGAUAGUCAAAAACUGUAUCAGAACCUUGAUAUUUAAACUUAUUAAUUUGCCCAUUCUUUUGGCCAACUUACUAGUUAACAGCUCUUAUUUUUAAAAGAAUUCCAAUUUUGUGAAACUAAAAUAUGAUAGGUAACUCAAGAUGAUAUAACAGAAAACAUCUUGUAUUUUGUAUUUCAAAAAUCUCUUCCCGCAUGAAAAAGAAUAAAAGAAUGAGUAUUCUGAAUAAGAAAUGUGUCAGCUUUUCUAGAGUUAUAUUAUCAGCAGUACACAUGGAUUUAUAGAGUUUUGAACUUCAAUAAAGUAUUCUACCAGUCAAAAUACAAUUUGGUACAUAAUUAAUGUGGCAUAAUAUGACAUAGCCACGGGCAGCUUCAUACUAGAGUUCAAAAACAAUUUGCUUGUUAAAUUAGCUAAUAAUAUUUGCAGCAGUAUCUGAUUAAUUAGUCUUCCAAUUUAUUAGUGAUACUCAGAAGGAAAAUAAGGACUAAAGGCUGUUGAUUAUAAAAAGUAUACCUUCAAAUUAGCUUCCAGUUAAUUAUGUAGAGAUAUUAUGUAUCUACUAGUAUUCGAUAUCACCACAUCACCACAAUGUUGUUAAUGCAGAAUUCAUGACUUUAUUCUUCCACCAUCAACUCUGUAUCAAUUAGCUCACAUCUGUCUGAUAUGCAAGACAACUGUUCUCUAGUGAGCGGUCAAUUGCAAUUGAACACCUUUGUUUGAUGCAUGGAUUCAAACUGUCUCUCUUAAGUUUUUUUCAGUAAAUUAGAGAAGCUUCAUUGUACAUAAUUCUGAAUUUUGAUUUCUCAUCUUCCCCACAAAAAAAUUCUGCUGGAAUAUGCAUGUUGCUGGUCAGUGACUCUCUGUAAGUAAGAGAUGAAAAAUACUUCUUUUAAAUGGGAAUGGAGAGUAUUAACAUAACUUUGAAUUGAUGCCCUGACAGGGCAUUAUGACGCAGUGUCACAAUGUUGUCACAACACUCAAAGUACGAACAUACACUGAAGUUGCCUCAUAAGGUAAAAAUCACAACGCAGUAUCAGGAUGUGAAUCUGCAGUUAUUUCUUAGCCUUCCAUGAUUUUUUUUCCUCUAUUCAGUGGAAGUACUUGUUUUCCUCUUUCACUGAUUCUCUAUAGCUGCUAAGAGAGCUGAUUCACUCUCCUUCCUAUAUAACUAGCUUGCAAUCCUAGCCAUGACAUUCCCAUGAAAAGCAGCCUCUGAUCCAGCUCACCAGAACACAUACAGAAAUUUAAAAUUCCCUGAGCUCCAAGUUUACCUAGAAAAUGUGUACUUCAAAACAAUACAUGUAACCAAAUCCUGUAAAUAAUGCAGUAAUGCUACCUAAUGUUUCACACCUGUUUGGCUCUUCCUUGUUUCCCUUUCCUGGAUUUUAAGAUAACAGUAAAAGGACCUUGUAUUUCUUUCCAAAUACCAAGGUUAAAAGUUGGUCUACAGUUCUUAGAAUUCAAAUAUGCUUCUCUGAAAAAGAAGUGAUCAAAUAUAUAUUAGAGCUUUAUUAUUUAUCAGAGAACUUAACUAUUUAAGGAAACAAACUUUUUUGAAAAGGAGUUGGAUCUCAGGCAUUCAGGACCACAUUCAAAAGAUUUCCCCAGAAAAAAAAAAUGACAAAUUAUCAACUUGGUAAUGGCAUGUACUUUUUGUCCUAAAUUGAGGAAAAGGAUAUCUUGAAAACUUCCCUUGUGAUCCAUCACUUCCACUGGACACAUACUCUGUCUAUAUGACUACUAUAGAAGCAGCACAUGAAACAGAAAUGAGCAGCCUAAAAUUGAUAGCUGACUGGCACAAUCAAG